rnacentral:rRNA from 1 species
UAGGGAAUCUUCCACAAUGGACGAAAGUCUGAUGGAGCAACGCCGCGUGAGUGAAGAAGGGUUUCGGCUCGUAAAACUCUGUUGUUAAAGAAGAACAUAUCUGAGAGUAACUGUUCAGGUAUCGACGGUAUUUAACCAGAAAGCCACGGCUAACUACGUGCCAG